GCCUUGGUAGCUCAGUCGGUAGAGCAGAGGAUUGAAAAUCCUCGUGUCGGCGGUUCGAUUCCGUCCCAAGGCACCA
rnacentral:tRNA from 2 species